rnacentral:rRNA from 1 species
AUUGAACGCUGGCGGCAGGCCUAACACAUGCAAGUCGAGCGGAGCGGCGGACGGGUGAGUAAUGCCUAGGAAUCUGCCUGGUAGUGGGGGAUAACGUCCGGAAACGGGCGCUAAUACCGCAUACUAACAGAUGAGCCUAGGUCGGAUUAGCUAGUUGGAGGGGUAAAGGCCUACCAAGGCGACGAUCCGUAACUGGUCUGAGAGGAUGAUCCGUCACACUGGAGCUGAGACACAGACCAGACUCCUACGGGAGUCAGCAGUGGGGAAUCUUCGACGAUGGGCGAAAGCCUGAUCCAACCAUGCCGCGUCUGUAAGGAAGGUCUUCGGAUUAUAAAGCACUUUUAGUUAGGAGACAUUACCAACAGAAUAAGCACCGGCUAACUUCGUACCAGCAGCCGCGGUAAUUC